UAGGGAAUCUUCGGCAAUGGGGGCAACCCUGACCGAGCAACGCCGCGUGAGUGAAGAAGGUUUUCGGAUCGUAAAGCUCUGUUGUAAGUCAAGAACGAGUGUGAGAGUGGAAAGUUCACACUGUGACGGUAGCUUACCAGAAAGGGACGGCUAACUACGUGCCAGCAGCCGCGGUAAUACGUAGGUCCCGAGCGUUGUCCGGAUUUAUUGGGCGUAAAGCGAGCGCAGGCGGUUUGAUAAGUCUGAAGUUAAAGGCUGUGGCUCAACCAUAGUUCGCUUUGGAAACUGUCAAACUUGAGUGCAGAAGGGGAGAGUGGAAUUCCAUGUGUAGCGGUGAAAUGCGUAGAUAUAUGGAGGAACACCGGUGGCGAAAGCGGCUCUCUGGUCUGUAACUGACGCUGAGGCUCGAAAGCGUGGGGAGCGAACAGGAUUAGAUACCCUGGUAGUCCACGCCGUAAACGAUGAGUGCUAGGUGUUGGAUCCUUUCCGGGAUUCAGUGCCGCAGCUAACGCAUUAAGCACUCCGCCUGGGGGAGUACGGCCGCAAGGUUG
rnacentral:rRNA from 1 species